GACCACUGCGGCAGCCUAGUGGUUAGAGCGUCCGCCUAGGAAGCGGGAGAUCGCAGGUUAGAACCUCGGCCGAGUCA